rnacentral:lncRNA from 1 species
UAACCAAUGCCGGUAGCUCGGACUCUCCGGAAAUGUUGCGGAAACCACAUCAGAUUCUCCAAAAAUGCACUAUUUUUGGAGGAUCCAGCGUGCACCUAUCGACGUUUUUGAAGAGUCCAAGCAAUGUAGACCUUAACAACCCCCCAAAAAAGGAACAAUCUUGAAUUACAAAACAUGUUGCAUCCGUGUCGGAUUCUCCAAAAAUGCACCAUUUCUGGAGGAUCUGAAAUGCACCCGUCGAUAUUUUUGAAGAGUCCAAAUAAUAUAGACCUUAACAACCCAAAAAGAAGACAAUCCUGAAUUACAAAACAUGCCGCACCCGUGUCGGAUUAUCCAAAAAUGCACCAUUUAUGGAGAUUUUUUUGAGAAUCUGACACAGACCCCUCGACAUUUUUGAAGAGUUCAAGCAACAUAGACCUUAACCCCCAAAAAAUGACAAUCUUGAAUUACAAAACAUAUUGCACCCGUGUGGGGAUUCUCCAAAAAUACACCAUUUCUGGAGAUUUUUGGAGGAUCUGACACAAAUCUCUCGACAUUUUUGAAGAGUCCAAGCAAUAUAGACCUUAACAAACCCCCAAAACGACAAUCUUAAGAUACAAAACAUGUCGCACCCGUGUCGCAUCCUCCAAAUAUGCACUAUUCCCAGAGAUUUUUGGAGGAUCCGACACGCACCUGUCAACAGUUUUUAAGAGUACAAGCAACAUAGACCUUAACAACCCCCAAAAAGACAAUCUUAAAAUACUAAACAUGGCGCACCACCGGAUUCUUCAAAAAUACACUAUUCCCAGAGAUUUUUGGAGGAUCCGACACGCACCUGUUAACAGUUUUGAAGAGUCUGAGCAACGUAGACCUUAACAACCCC